AGUCGAGGGGUAUGUUCUUCGGAACUAGAGACCGGCGCACGGGUGCGUAACGCGUAUGCAAUCUACCUUUUACAGAGGGAUAGCCCAGAGAAAUUUGGAUUAAUACCUCAUAGUAUUAUAGAAUGGCAUCAUUUUAUAAUUAAAGUCACAACGGUAAAAGAUGAGCAUGCGUCCCAUUAGCUAGUUGGUAAGGUAACGGCUUACCAAGGCUACGAUGGGUAGGGGUCCUGAGAGGGAGAUCCCCCACACUGGUACUGAGACACGGACCAGACUCCUACGGGAGGCAGCAGUGAGGAAUAUUGGACAAUGGGCGCAAGCCUGAUCCAGCCAUGCCGCGUGCAGGAUGACGGUCCUAUGGAUUGUAAACUGCUUUUAUACGAGAAGAAACACUCCGACGUGUCGGAGCUUGACGGUAUCGUAAGAAUAAGGAUCGGCUAACUCCGUGCCAGCAGCCGCGGUAAUACGGAGGAUCCAAGCGUUAUCCGGAAUCAUUGGGUUUAAAGGGUCCGUAGGCGGUUUAAUAAGUCAGUGGUGAAAGCCCAUCGCUCAACGGUGGAACGGCCAUUGAUACUGUUAGACUUGAAUUAUUAGGAAGUAACUAGAAUAUGUAGUGUAGCGGUGAAAUGCUUAGAGAUUACAUGGAAUACCAAUUGCGAAGGCAGGUUACUACUAAUGGAUUGACGCUGAUGG
rnacentral:rRNA from 1 species